AUUGAACGCUGGCGGCAGGCCUAACACAUGCAAGUCGAACGAGUGGCGGACGGGUGAGUAAUGUACGGGAAACUGCCUGGUGGAGGGGGAUAACUACUGGAAAGGGUAGCUAAUACAGAAUACCAUCAAAUGUGCCCAGAUGGGAUUCGCUUGUUGGUGGGGUAACGGCUCAACAAGGCGACGAUCCCUAGCUGGUCUGAAAGGAUGACCAGCCACACUGGAACUGAGACACGGUCCAGACUCCUACGGGAGGCAGCAGUGGGGAAUAUUGCACAAUGGGCGCAAGCCUGAUGCAGCCAUGCCGCGUGUAUGAAGAAGGCCUUCGGGUUGUAAAGUACUUUCAGCGGUGAGGCGUUACCCGCAGAAGAAGCACCGGCUAACUCCGUGCCAGCAGCCGCGGUAAUUC
rnacentral:rRNA from 1 species